rnacentral:rRNA from 1 species
GACGAACGCUGGCGGCGUGCUUAACACAUGCAAGUCGAACGGAAAGGCCCUGCUUGCCGGGUACUCGAGUGGCGAACGGGUGAGUAACACGUGGGUGAUCUGCCCUGCACUUCGGGAUAAGCCUGGGAAACUGGGUCUAAUACCGGAUAGGGGCCAUUUUUAGUGUGAUGGUUGGAAAGUUUUUUCGGUGUAGGAUGAGCUCGCGGCCUAUCAGCUUGUUGGUGGGGUAAUGGCCUACCAAGGCGGCGACGGGUAGCCGGCCUGAGAGGGUGGACGGCCACAUUGGGACUGAGAUACGGCCCAGACUCCUACGGGAGGCAGCAGUGGGGAAUAUUGCACAAUGGGCGCAAGCCUGAUGCAGCGACGCCGCGUGGGGGAUGACGGCCUUCGGGUUGUAAACUCCUUUCGCUAGGGACGAAGCUUUUUGUGACGGUACCUAGAUAAGAAGCACCGGCUAACUACGUG